rnacentral:misc_RNA from 1 species
UGAUCAGAAGAGGGGGGCUUGCAAGAGUCAGAAGAAGUGAUGGAGGACAAUACCUGCUUGUAUCUAGUGUAAUAUCUGGAAGGAAAGGAAUCAGAGCAUUUUUGAAGGAAAAGAAUGCUCAAUACAGAAGAUCAAAUGGAAAGUAAUUACUUCCUCAGGUUUUUGGUGUAAAGAACAAAAUAUAGAAGAGGAAACAAACAUAA